UACGUAGGGUGCGAGCGUUAAUCGGAAUUACUGGGCGUAAAGUGUGCGCAGGCGGCCGCGCAAGUCGAGUGUGAAAGCCCCCGGCUUAACUGGGGAGGGUCAUUCGAUACUGUUCGACUCGAAGGCAGGAGAGGGAAGUGGAAUUCCCGGUGUAGUGGUGAAAUGCGCAGAUAUCAGGAGGAACACCGGUGGCGGAAGGGCGGGUCUCUGGGGCCAUAACCUGACGCUGAGGAGGCGAAAGCGUGGGGAGCGAACAGG
rnacentral:rRNA from 1 species